rnacentral:rRNA from 1 species
CCUACGGGUGGCUGCAGUGGGGGAUAUUGCACAAUGGGGGAAACCCUGAUGCAGCGACGCCGCGUGAGUGAAGAAGUAUUUCGGUAUGUAAAGCCCUGUCAGCAGGGAAGAGAAUGACGGUACCUGAGUACGAAGCCCCGGCUAACUACGUGCCAGCAGCCGCGGUAAUACGUAGGGGGCAAGCGUUAUCCGGAUUUACUGGGUGUAAAGGGGGCGUAGACGGCGAAGAAAGUCUGGAGUGAAAGCCCGGGGCCCAACCGCGGAACUGCUCUUGAAACUUGGUGGCUGGAGUACAGGAGAGGCAAGCGGAAUUCCUGGUGUAGCGGUGAAAUGCGUAGAUAUCAGGAGGAACACCAGUGGCGAAGGCGGUCUGCUGGACAGCAACUGACGGUGAGGCGCGAAAGCGUGGGGAGCAAACAGGAUUAGAUACCCGGGUAGUC